CCUUUAGGUCUGACAUAACCUAUCGAAAGGUAGGCUAAUUUCAGAUGAUGCAGCGGCUCGACAUCGAGACAGUUGUUAAACCUUCGGGGCCUAAAGAUGAGCCUGCGUCUGAUUAGGUAGUUGGCGAAGUAAAAGCCCACCAAGCCUGCGAUCAGUAGCUGGUCUGAGAGGAUGAUCAGCCACACUGGAACUGAGACACGGUCCAG
rnacentral:rRNA from 1 species